GUGAAUCAUCAAAUCUUUGAACGCAAAUUGCACUCUCUUCGGAGAGUAUGCCUGUUUGAGGGUCAGCCUAUAAAAAAUCGACAUCGUUGCUGGUUCGCGGUGGCGUUCGUUGGAAAUUGGGUCAUCUUAAAUCUUUUGGUAUUAAGUGACUUAAAACUUUCCUUUUGGUUCCAUGAACGUAUCUAAGAUUUAUUUUUUUACACGAUUAAGGUAUCGAUGUUUAUUAGACGUGACCUUCAUAUCGGAUCGCGCCAAUACUGUUUCAUAUACUGA
rnacentral:misc_RNA from 1 species